UACGGAGGGGGCAAGCGUUGUUCGGAAUUACUGGGCGUAAAGGGCUCGUAGGCGGCCAACUAAGUCGGAUGUGAAAUCCCCAGGCUCAACUUGGGAACUGCAUCCGAUACUGGAUGGCUUGAAUUCGGGAGAGGGAUGCAGAAUUCCAGGUGUAGCGGUGAAAUGCGUAGAUAUCUGGAGGAAUACCGGUGGCGAAGGCGGCAUCCUGGACCGACAUUGACGCUGAGGAGCGAAAGCUAGGGGAGCAAACGGG
rnacentral:rRNA from 1 species